GUGGGUAAUAUCUAAACCAAAGCCCAUAAUUGUAAAUUUGGAGUUGGAGUUGGAGUUUUCGUCAAUGGGAUUCGUUCCUAAUCUCACUGUCUUCCAUCAUCAAAUCUUCUCCAAUUUUGAGUUUCCUUGAAUUUCGAUUAAAGUUUUCUAUUUCCCCCAAAUUUUUCGUUCAUCUUCAUAUUCUGGAGAAAGAAGAAAGAGAAUUUUCGGAAACAAGAUGAUAUACAGAAAGUGGAGUCUGUUGACCAGCACUGCGGUGAUCACCAGUGGCAUUGUUGGCGCCGUUGUCAUCGGCAAUCUCCUCUUUGUUCGCGAGGAUCCUCUCAUGAAGCCAGUGCCAAAGAAACAGAACGAGUCUUCAUCACAGUAGAUCUGUUUUAUUUGGCAAUAGGGCAGGGGUGCACCUUCAAAGGUUAUGGAUGUGUAGUAACAUAAGUUCAUGUUGAAAUUUGUAUUGUAAUUAUUAUUACUAUAUCUGUUAAAUAUUAUGUGCAAUUUUAAAAUAUUUAAUAUCUCAUAAAUAAUACUUCAAAGUUACAUAUGCAUUUAAUGGAGGUUUUAUUAUUAUUAUUAUUAUUAUUAUUAUUAUUA